CAAACAUAUCGAUAUAUUUAGCGCGAUGACAAUAACCCCGAGUUUUGUAAAUAAAUUAUAAGUGUGGGAAGUGUUUUCAAUAUUAUGUUGCGCGUUAUAAAUUUUCGUCGUACAUUAGUGACCUCAUUCAAAACAAAAGAAUUAUGCAAUAACAAAUUGUUAUUGCCUAAUCACCGUAGCUCCUCCAAUAUUCCCAACCCGGACCACAGUAAUUUUCAUUUGGAUGGAUCAAGAAGUUUGCCUCGUUUAAUGGACUUUCCUGAAACGUUGUGGCCUUCAACAAUCAAUACGUUGAGAAAUUGGAUAUUAAUACAAUUUAUAAUCCGCCCUUAUUUUGACAGAGAAUUUACCAUUAAGGACUUCGUAUAUGGUGCUAAGCAAGCUCUUCAGAUUAUUUCAAGAAAACUGUUAAAUGGAGAAUUUGAUGCAUUAAACGGCUUCGUGUCCAAAGAAGCCAUCAAUGAGCUAAAACCUACUAUUCAGAAACUAUCUGUGGCUCAAAGGAAACAAUUAGAAAUUAAUAAAACCGAUAUUUACUUCGCUUUCCCAUACCAAGUGGGUAUAAUAUUUGACGAAGAGCAAGAAAAAAUUCAGAAGCGUUGGGUUGAAAUAACAAUGGUUUUCCACGUACUUCGAGGACUUACGGAAAUGCGAAACCGCGGUGAAGAAAUUCCUUGGAAUAUGGG
rnacentral:sRNA from 1 species